GCGGCGUUGGUGUAGCGGUAACACAACAGCCUUCCAAGCUGUUAUCACCAGUUCGAGUCUGGUACGCCGCU
rnacentral:tRNA from 2 species